AUAGGAGAUAGAACCCUUUUUCCAGCACUAUGAAAUAGUACUGCAAGGGAAAGAUUAAAGAUGAAGACAGACAGUACAAAAAAAAAAAAAAGCAUAGAUUGCCACUACUAUCUUUUGUAUAAUGAAUUAACUAGAAUUAAGUUGGUGAAGUGAACUGCAGUCAAUCAUCCUGAAACCAAACUAGCUACUUCCGAACAGCCAGCAGAGCGAAUUUGUCUAUGUGGCAAAAUAGUAAAAAGAUUUUGAAGAGGAGGUGAAAAGCCAAUUGAGUUUGGUGAUAGCUGGUUAUCAACAUAUAUCAUUCUUAUAAAAUAAGAAUUUUAGUUCAACUUUAAGUUUUCCCAAAAUACUCCCAAAUCUAAUGAAAACUUAACACUUAAAGAGGGACAACUCUUUAAGGAGACAAACUUCAACAGUGGGUCAAUAAAUAAAAUCACCAUAGUUGGCCUAAAAGCAGCCAUCAAUUAAGAAAGCGUUCAAGCUCAACAAAUUCUACAACUUCCAAUUCCAACAAAAUCAAGUAAACCCCUGAUUAACAAUUGGAUUAAUCUAUAACUAUAUAGAAGAGAUACUGUCAAUAUUAGUUACAAGAUGUAAGUCAAUAUUAGUUACAAUAUUAGUUUAAGCUUGCACAAGCUUAAAUCAAAUAUACAUUUGAUUAUUAACAAUUUAAUAAGACAAGACUCUUUAUAACAACUCUUAUUACAAUCAUUUGUUAACCCAACACAGCAGUGCUAUUCAGGAAAGACAAAAAAAAAAAAAAGGCAAAAGGAACACGGCAAACACAAAUCCCGCCUGUUUACCAAAAACAUCACCUCUAGCAUUGCCAGUAUUUGAGGCUCUGCUUGCCCAGUGACAUUAGUUCAACAGCCAAGGUAUCCUGACUGUGCAAAGAUAGCAUAAUCACUUGUUCUUUAAAUAAAGAUUCGUAUGAAUGGCUAAACAAGGGUUUAACUGUCUCUUGCUUUAUGUUAUUGAAAUUGACCUCCCCAUGAAGAGGUGGGGAUAAUCUAAUAAGAUUAAAAGACCCUAUGGAGCUUUAAUUUAUUACUCUACUCACCCUAAGCCCACAAGGGCACAAAACACAUAGACCUAAAUUAAUAAUUUUGGUUGGGGUGACCUCAGAGAACAACAAAACUUCCAAAUGAUAUUAACUUAGACAUCACAAGUCAAAGUUCCUAUCCCCAAUUAACCCAAAAACCUUUGAUCAACAGACCAAGUUACCCUAGGGAUAACAGCACAAUCCUAUUUUAGAGUCCAUUUCGACAAUAGGAUUUGUGACCUGAUGUUGGAUCAGGACAUCCUAAUGGUGAGGCGGCUAUUAAGGGUUCACUUGUUCAACGAUUAAUAGUCCUACGUGAUCUGAGUUCAGAUCAGAGUAAUCCAGUCAGCUACUAUCCAUUAGUGACUUCUCCCAGUA
rnacentral:rRNA from 1 species